rnacentral:misc_RNA from 1 species
GCGAUACCGUGGUGACGUGACGUUACGCUCGGCAAAGCUUGCAGCUGGUCCAGGUCUCUCGUCGUCAUCGCCGAAUUGUAACCACGCUCGUUUACAUCUUUCCGUUUCCAUUCCAAAUGAUGCUCGCUCGCUCUUCCAUCGUCGGUUUCCCUUUUGGCGAGGCUCGCACCUCGAUUCCCUGAAUUCCGUGGAAAUGCGCGCACAACACUAGUGAACACUAAAGAGGAACUUGUGACGGCACCAGAUUCCGCGCACGCAAGGAACGAGAGGAAGGAAAGGAGAGAGGAAGAGAAGAGCGUUUUGCUAUUUUCAAGACGCCGCGAAGUCUUGCCAAAGUGUGCCUUCUUGGCCCUCAAGAAUCAUAGCCGGAAGGUCGCGAUAACCUGCAUUUCCGCUCGACCGGCUCUCGGGAUCGUCGAUCGAUCGCCGAGUAGCGCGAUUUCAGUUUCCCGGGAUAUUUCUGGAGCACGACGUGAAUCAGUGAUACAAUAUCUAGAGCGUGCUGCUGAUGUAAAUUUUUCCGUCAAUGGGAUAUGGACAUCUUGCACUAUCCUGUGAUCAAUGAUAGAAGAAUAAGGAAUAUUUUGAUAAUCCCCCGGAUUAUUCUUAGAAACGCAACGGUUCGUUUCGAGAGUAAUUCUUGAUCCGAUUGACGAGGGUUUCUGCUUAAUCUUCCUUAUACGUAAUAAAGCCAUCGUUCAAAACGUUCUAGGAGAUAAUAGAUCGCUGCGAACCGUGACGGAAAAUUGAAUGUUCGACUAUAAUCUCAAGACCACCGACACGUUGAUAUCUUUUGUUAUAACGGAGUCAUCAUCGACGUAUAUUUCUCUUGUGGGCUUCGUCUGACGAUCAUCAUAUUUCUCAUUCAUAGCAAAGACCGUCCCGAUGAUGAUGUUUCGCUAUCGCUUUUACGAGCAAGACGCGAUCCUCGGGGAGGGGGAUAUUCUCGAUAGAGUAAUAGCUGGACAACCGACGAGAAUAGAUUGAGGAAGAAGAAAUCUAUUUUCCGUGGAUCGCCGCACUCUACAGAUCAACAAAUAAUUCGAGUCACCUUUGCAAGAUCGAGCGUGUUUAUCGGCGAUUAUUACAUACGCAGACGAUCGACAGUAUUGUGUACAAUUACUUGAGACACAUAGAAGUAAGAUCAGUAUUGGAGAAGAAGAGAAUUACGAAAAUUAUGAGUCAAUCGCAUUAACAAACACGAUUCGAUUUGGUAAUGAAGAGGAUUCCAUGCUUUCCAUCGUUUCGAUCCUAUUUACGAUGCAAACAUGAAAGUAUUAUCCCACUGGCAAGAGUGGUGUCUAAAAUAAGAAUUUGAUUAAUUGGCACGAUUUGAUUAGCAGCGAAGAAGCAAAAGGGUUUGGUUGAAUGAAAACGACAGUGGAAAAAAAUGGGAAUGGAUGAACGAUGUGCAUAAUCAUAUGAUUGAUCAUUGAGUAUACAUGAAAAAUUGUUUCGUUGAUUAUAAAGAUAUAUAGAUAAUAAAAAUAAAGAGAGAGAGAGAGAGAGAGAGAGAAAGAGGGGCUGAAAGGAAAGAGUACGAAAACUAAGGAAAAUUGAAAAAUGCAAGCUGCAUCUAAUCGACGACGAUCGAGGACGAUUUGUGAUUGGAGCGUCGUCGUCGAGAAUGGAGGAUAAAUUUAUCCGCGUCGCGAAGAGGAAUGCGGCAGAAGCGUGGAGGAAAAGUAGCACGAGUACCACGGAACGCCGCAGUCGCAUUUCCGGUUUAAAUUUAACGUGAUGAUACGCGCACUUUCCCAAUUAGCCGAUAUGGAGACCGUUGAAUUUAACUGGAGAGUAUAUGAUGUCGGAAGGUGGACUGGCACCUAGUAUCAGCCUCUCGUGCUACAUGCUAUUCAAAAGAUUCACGUACUAAUUGCUAGUCGCACCCACGUGUAUGUGUUGAACUUCCACAAAUUGCAAGGUGUACUGCACUGUAACCCCAUGACGCAUUUAAUACAUGGCCCGCCUGGAGAUACCGAGCAUAGUGGUGUAUAAAAGAAGCAGGUCGCAGGACCGACCUGAGAGUCCUACGGUGGUGGUGCAAGGAGGAAUGCCCUCACUGCCGUCCUCCAAGCAAGGCCUCGCCAUAAGUGGCUGCGGUGGUGCGCCUCAUCAGGACGCCUCGGAGUCAGAUAUGAUAGACGGGAAUGCCAACCCUAAUGUAGGCACAUCCCCCGUACCGAACUCGCUCCACCGUCCCGCUUCCUCCUGUUCGCCAUCCGAUAAAUCGGACACUGAAAGCAAGAACUUUCGCAAUCGGACGAACACGAAACUGAAACUGUUAGUCAGAAGUCAUGCCAUGAGAGAGUCGACAUCCCCACCGCGGGAACCGCACGGCAACGGUCCAACGUCGCCGCACAGUCCGCAAUCGGCGGAUGGCGAGAAAAAGAUCAUAUGCAGCCUCUCGCCGAAUUCUGGCGCCAAGCUCAACAACAACGAAUCCAUAUUCAAUAGCAAUCUUUGUUCCGCUCAAUCUCCCAAACAGAUGCGCAACACGGCGACAUCGCCGACUUGUCGGGCACCGUCGCGAAAUGGUCAAUCUAGUCCUUCUCAGGUACAUUCACCAAAGAGCAUCACAUCUCCAACUAAUGGCAAUAAAUUGGAAAACCAUCGCUCCAAAUUCGCUAGUGCGAAUAUCAUUCAGAAAUGCAAUAACUGUGUAAAGAACAAUCAAAAUGAGCGACCAGGUUUAUUGCAGACUCCGAUAUCACCCAUCAGAUGCGGUCAAACUUUGCAGCAUUCGCCGAAGAGCACCAAUCUUGCUCCGUGCGGCCAGAAUAAUCAGCACAAAUCCGAGCAACGAAGGCCGAACACAUUGAACAUUUGUAAUAAUCAAUGCUCGGCGCAAUGCGGCAACACACUCUCAGUGACUAGGCCCGGAUCUAGGCACAAGCUAAGACACCAGAAUUCGUCCCAAGGCAGUUAUGAUAGCGCAUCGCCAUGCCUUUCGCGUGAUAGUAGCACGGAGCUAUAUACGGACAGCACCGGGAUAGAUCUCGAACAAUUCAUUGCAGAAACUAUAAACCGCAAUCAGAAGGAUCGCACAGUGUUGCUAAAGAUUGAGAAAGAUUUAAUCGAUUUCGCGAAGGAUCGACAGAAGGUUUCUCAUAAAUUCCCGAACAUGUCUUCAUAUAACAGGAUGCUAGUGCAUCGAGUGGCAGCUUACUUCGGGAUGGAACACAACGUGGAUCAAUCGGGUUUAAGCGUCAUCGUCACGCGGACGAAAAACAUGCGAAUACCAGAUACUCGCUUUAAGGAGCACAUCAGAGAUGAUCUAAUCCUAUCGGAGGAACCGCGAAGAAGUAUCCUGAAACGAGAUUCGAGCUCGUUUGAGGAUAGUUUCAAUUUCAAAUCGCCUGAUAGAUUGUCGGGCGAUUGCUGCCGGCGUAGCAAAAGUUUCGAGGAACGAGAAGAGGAAUAUGAACGCGCCAGACGAAGGAUAUUUAAAGAUAGUAGUGGUGAAAGCAGCGAAGUUACGUCCUGGCCAUGGUCUUCGACGGAGAGUUCAGAUGCCUCUGCGAAAUUUCGCUUGCUACACCCGGAUCAUCUAGUCAGGCAAAAUCGACUUCUGAAGGGCGAAUCUUUUGAUGGAAGGGAUUCAUUCCGCGGCGGAGUGUUGCGCCCAUCGGUUUCUAAGUCAUUCAGUUUCGGUGGAUAUACCAAAGGCAUGUUGACAAGGGGAGAUAGUGUUACAUCUACACAUAGCGCGGGAGCUCGCCUUAUGAAGCAAGAUUCUGGGGCGAGCAUGUGUUCACGUUUAAGUCCGAGCCGUUCGAGUAGCGGCUAUAAAUCACAGAGUCAGCGCAGCGACGCGACAUUAUCGCCAUCUUUGUCACCUUCCCCUGUACCUGCCACUAUGACGUGUAGUCACACUCAAGUGUCCAGUCAGGACUUAAUCUCGCCGGAGUCGAACGGUGGCCAAACGGUUAUGUGGGCAGUCACUAGUUUGUCCAGCGUACCACCUGGCAGCAUAAUAAUAAAUCCACAAACCAAUCAGCCAUAUACGAACACGGACGGCUCGAUUUAUCGUUUUGAUCCAGACAAUCCACCGAAGUUCUUUAAUAUGGAGAAUGAGAAUGGCACACCAUUGUCCGCUAAUAAGCAGCAGCAGCAGCAGCACAUGGAAUUGUCCUCUGAGCCGUCCAGAACGAAUAACAAUCUCAAGAAUGACAAUAGGAAACAGAGAUCGCCGCAAUCGAGGAUCAAUGUUACGGGAGCAUCUACCGGGGCCCAAGUAACGAAUACAGCGACGUCGCCAAGCCUGCCAUUCACUCCGCCGCCACCGCCACCACCUCCUCUUCCUCCUGCUUCUGCUCCGCAGAAUCCACCCAUUCUGCAACAUCAAGCGCAGCAACAGCAGCUCCAAUCUCAGCUGCAUCCGCAGCAGCAAAGUCUAGUCAAAUCGUCAACGACACUACCGAUAUUUAAUCAUAUUAACCAAACAGCUCAACAACCCUACGCGACCUACGUACCUACCUCAGAACCGUAUAAUCAAGGUGUCUAUCCACCCCCCAUGGGACAACCGACUGUGAUGAUGGCAUCUCAUCCUACUCAGAGUCAAGCAAGUGUACAAAAUGGCGGUCAGGGCGAUGUCUUCAAUCAGAAUCAGGUCUACACCAAUUAUGCGGUACCUGUGCAUCAAGGACCAAUAUCACAGUCAGGGGACAUGGCCGAGUUAUCCGGAUAUUUCUUAGGUAUGAACAUUUAUGAUCAGCGUAGCAAUGGGGACAGCCACUCCACGCCUCCGCAUUCUACGUAUCCGCCACCCUCUGCAAAUCAGACCGUGCAAAAUGUGCAGUCAAUACAACCAAAUUAUUGGCAACCAUCGCCAAAUCAAAUACCGCCUCAACAGACUAUGUAUUUUGUGCCUCCACCUGGAACGACAAUUUCUGUCGGUCAGAAUCCGGGGGACAGGCAACAGCUGCAUCAGCAGCAGAGGUUUCCAACGAAUUAUUCUUUCAACGCGCAAACGAUAACGUCUCCGAGCCAACCAAGUUCUAAUUUCGUCGGCAGUUAUCCGGUACCUUACAAUUCAUUACCAGCAGUAACUCCAACUCCUGGCGACUAUACGUAUCAACCACCAGUUCAAAUGAUUCCUACGUAUUAUCCGCCAGGACAGCCGGCGAUGCAACCACCGCCUGUGAUGUACAGAGUACCUACGCCACCGAACACACCAACAUCUAGUCAAAUACCUGGUAUGCCGUUGAUGUAUGUUAACUCAAGUAGCUAUGCAACUCCGACAAUGGUGACCAGUGGAACAUUUGGACAUCAGGUCACCCAUAAUGGUACGUCCCCGGCGCCGCCUGGAGCAUAUAUGGCACCCACGCUGAUUCCCAAUCUCGUCUUCAGGCAAAAUGUUCCGAUCGUUCCCAGCGUGCGGGCGACAACGCCAGGGAACUCCCAAAGAGCCAGUCGGUCUCCAACUCCGGCGCACGAAUUCUUCGGAGGUGGGAGCGGAGACCGAAGCGCACAACCUCAACCACGUUACCCACUGCCAAUGUAUCAGGGUGUCCAUAUCGUGCAAGGGGACAUGAGAUUGAUGCACUCAGGCGUACCAUCCAAUUCCCGGUUGCAGUAUGCACCAGUAUCGUCACCGCCUGUUGUUCAAGGCUGCCCGCGGCCUUACAGGCCACCUUCGUCUAACACCUCGGGUGCCGGUACGCCGAUUUCCUUUGACGGCAGAAAUCAGAAAAUUCGCAAACAUAGGUCCAAAAUAACAUCUUUGCCACCAAGCGGCGCACGACCCAAUUUUUAUCAAACAUCUUCCAUGUCAUCGCUCCCAUCGAACAUACCCAAAGACAUCAGAGAAGUUUGUCGACUGGCCAGUGUUCCAUAUCUUCCGAAUUCUCCACAAAUAGUGCACUUUUCAUUGAGAGAAACUUUUGAAUGCGCAUAAUUUCCCGCCGCGAAUUGAUUUGAGAAGAAAAUCAAUUACUCACAGACUUUUUAACUUGAUUCAAUGAAUAAUCUCAAAAGACGCACACAAUGACGUAUUUUAAUAAGGAACGGUGAAAGUGACCAUCACCCGUCGGAAUCAGG